rnacentral:rRNA from 1 species
GCGUAGGAACCUACCUAGUAGUUUGGGAUAGCCCAGAGAAAUUUGGAUUAAUACCGGAUACGCCCUACGGGGGAAAGGGGGCUUUGGCUCUCGCUAUUAGAUGGGCCUGCGUAAGAUUAGCUAGUUGGUGAGGUAAUGGCUCACCAAGGCGACGAUCUUUAGCUGGUCUGAGAGGAUGAUCAGCCACACUGGAACUGAGACACGGUCCAGACUCCUACGGGAGGCAGCAGUGGGGAAUCUUGCACAAUGGAGGAAACUCUGAUGCAGCGAUGCCGCGUGAGCGAAGAAGGCCCUUGGGGU